AAUAAGUGUAAUCUUGCACUAUUCAUAUCCAACGUUUGACCGUUUAUCUUAUUUGAAAAUUUUUUAUGAUUAGUAUUUUUGUGUGACCUUUUUAAUUAUUUUAUAAUUUUUUAAAUAAGACGAAUGGUCAAACGUUGAAUUUGAAAAUCCACGACUGCACUUAUU
rfam:Oryza punctata chromosome 7, whole genome shotgun sequence.